rnacentral:rRNA from 1 species
UACGGAGGGAGCUAGCGUUGUUCGGAAUUACUGGGCGUAAAGCGCGCGUAGGCGGCUUUGUAAGUUAGAGGUGAAAGCCCGGGGCUCAACCCCGGAACUGCCUUUAAGACUGCAUCGCUUGAAUCCGGGAGAGGUGAGUGGAAUUCCGAGUGUAGAGGUGAAAUUCGUAGAUAUUCGGAAGAACACCAGUGGCGAAGGCGGCUCACUGGACCGGUACUGACGCUGAGGUGCGAAAGCGUGGGGAGCAAACAGG